GCCAACGGACGCCGGCGGCGCGGGGCGGGGGAGAGGCGGGUCCCCGGGGGCUCCUCGGCGGGAAGGCGGCUGCGCGACCCUCCGGUGAAUGCAACCCGCGCUGCCCCCGGGGUGGGAGGGGUCCCUGCGUGGACGGCUUCUCCGUCGGGGCGGUUGGGGAGCCGGGCGGUAGGGCCCGGGGCUCCUGAGGGGAGAGGGACCCACAGAAGGGUCGGCAGGGCCGCGACUUUUCACGUGGUCUCGGUGCCUCGGCGGAUAAAAUGCGGCGGUUCUGGGGAAGCGGGUUUGCAAGUUGUGAACUACAAAGGAGUUCAGAGAACACUGGGGCAAGUGACGUGCACCACACGCUGGCAACGCUCCAAACUUGCCUUGUAUCUAUCUCACUUCACCAAAUACUCCUUUCAAUCAAACGCAGCCUUCAUACCAGUUCAGUCGAUAAAUUACAUUAAUUUUAUUGUAAAUUAGUUAAGAGCAGACAUGAUUAAUGAACACAAAAUAUUAGGUAUGGCCUGGGUUCUAAAAAAGAGGAAACAUCAAAAGGGAGAACUGCAACCACCAGAGUCUGGAUGUACAGUGAGAUCAGGAACAAAUGUUGAGGGAGGCUCAGAAAAGGGAACACUUCUUUCUUUUGUUGCUUUUAUCUGCUUUGUUGUGAUGGAGGAAAAAAACAUGAUGGAGGAGAAACAGUAAUGAAUUUAAUGUAAACAUAACUCAACAGUUGAGUAUUUUUAUGAUCAUUCACUACAGACAAGCCCACCAACACACACUGCUGCUCAGAGUCCAGAUGCAGAGUUACUGGUAUAAUUACCUGCUCUGUACUUUAGCACAUCAGGACCUUCCUGAGUUUUUGCAGCAUCCAGCAUUUGCAUUGGACACGCUUCCACGUGUUCAGCAGAGACCUUGCUGCCCACAGAGGCUACCAAGUACAUUCAGUUCAGUCUUAAUGCUUGUACCUCCCGCAUUUUCACAAUGAUUGUGUUUUCCAGUAUUCAGUUAGAAAUACUAACAAAAUAUUAGUAGAAUCAAAUUAAGGAACUAAUUCCAUCCACGUGAGCUACUGCCAUGCAGGUCCUGGUGUGCAGCUGGCAGGGACAUGGGGUUUUUCUCUAAAGGAAUGAGUUUGAUGUUUGAGUACAGGUCACCUCCUGUUCCCUUUCACUUCAGUGCAAACAAGUCUGACUGCAGUAAUCAUAAAACUGGGGACUCAAAGUGACUUUUAAAGCUACAUUUAAAUUAAAACCUGAAGAGUAAAGAGCAGUGUCUGCAGAACAUUCCUUUUUGCAUAAUACACAUUAUGAGGGUAGUAUAUUAAAUUAUUCAGAAUGACAUUUUCCUCUCCAAAUUACCUCUAAUCAGCAUUCACCAUGGGAGCAUAAGGCGUAGAGGUUCAUAGAAACUUUUGGAGUCGGCUGGCUUCUAAAACUGACUGGAAUGCUCAGUAGGAACAGCUAACCAGUGGGUUAACCAGUACAUGUGGUUUCACUUCCAGUUGGACCAAAGCUGAAAGACUCCCAACUUACCCUGUGCUCUCUCAGAAGAUGGUGUGGAGCAUUCUUAGAGCAACCUGCAGUCUUGGAAUCUUGUCUGCUGAGAGGACAAGAGCUCAGACCUCAGAAAGCAAGGCUGGUUCUUUCUGCAUUACCCAAACACUCCCAGAAUAACCAUAGUUUCUUAGUAAAAGACAGUAAAUAGGCCUCAGAUACACAACAUCUGCAGUCCUUUCCCAGUAGACACUAUUUGUGUCAGCUUAAAUAACUUGGACCUUAUAACUGAAAAUUCCGUAAGUACAACAGGAAAAUGUUUUAAUUGGUCAAGUUAUCACUGUCAGCAAAGAAUAAUUUUCUAAAAUUAGUUCACAUGUCUAGACAGUGAAAAAUACUGCAGGCUGAAGUCUGCUAAGAAACAUUUUCUUACACCUCAACAACUACAAAUAUCCAGAGCAGGUAAAAAACAAACUUAUUCUGCUCUAGGACCAAGAAGCAGUUCAGAAUAAUUAUUUAUCAGUCAUCUCUUGCUGGGCAAGGAAAUGCACAGGGAAGCAGAGAAAUCAAUAAUGUUUUAGUUCUGCCAGUUAAAACAGAAUCCAUUCCAACAGCUCUCCCAUCCUUCAGGACAGAAAAUCAUCUAGACAUUGAUCUGGCUUUCAGGAGUUCCAUGGGGGAAGCUCCCUGCCAUCUCCAUUUGCAGCACAAUCGUGUCUGUGGAAAGAAAGGGAGCACCUGGAGACAGUGCUAUGGUCUCAGAGCUAUAGGUACUGCUUGCUGCCUGCUGGAAAAAAAAAUGUGCAAGAACUUGAGUUUAAUGGCAUGUUGUUAAUUAUUUUCCAUGGCCAAGGCCUCUCACGAGCCACGUGAAGUCUGCCCUAGAGCAAAGCUUGAGUUGCACUGUCACUUUAAUCUGGUACAUGCAGCUCUGCUGCUGAGUCAUCUCUCCUUUCUCUACCCUCAUUUUCCUAUUCCUGUCCCUCUCUUAUGCUGGAACAAGCAUUUUUCUAGCUUUGUAGUAAACUGGUCUGUAUUAAAAAUGACAUGGUUUGUUUAGUUUUGUUUACUGCAUCAGCAUUGGUACUUGUGCCAUGACAAGCAGAGUGCCUUUUUGAUAGCACUGGUUUAUUCAUGCUUGGGGAGUUACACUGCGAUUCUACUUCUCACAAAUUCCAGAAAGUAAGGGUGGAAAUUCUCUAAAUAGUGUUUUGUAUCACUGAGGAGGCUGCUUUCCAUCAUUUUGCUAGUACUGCAUCCACAACACGUCAACAGCACUUGUAAUAAUGUUAAAACACAAAGUCUGUACAUGGUUGUUUGAAAACUGCAAAUUCAUUCUGGCUUUCUGCAUACUAAUUUAUGCAGACAGGCCCAAAGCUGUCUGCAUGGAACAGGGCCAGAAGACUUUGUGCUAAAAAAUAAACUACAUUAAAAAAAAAAGAAUAUAAUUGGCUCAACUCAUCACCAUCUUAAAAAAUUCCCUGUAUACAGGGCUGAAAAACAUGCUCAUAGAGAUCUAGUGAUUAAUUUAGGCAACUCCCUGGCAUCCCACCUCCUUGAGGAGGCUACGAGGCAAGUGCUGGAGCAAUGUCUGGGCUUUCACCAAGUUAUAUCUCUACAGCUUAGGGGCCAUUUGCAGGUAGCACUACUGACCACUUAUCCUGAAUAGCAGCUACCACAAAUUAUCCCCUCCACACACCCCAGAAAGAACAAGAGCCACUAUUUUUAGGUUCUAUUAUUCCACCUCCCCACCAAACACCAUCAGAGCUGUGCUGAUGUCAUCUCUGAUGGCAGCACUCAGCACCAGACCCUCAGGUCUGCUGUUAGACCAAAACAGCUAUUUCAAUUCAAUACCAUCCAGAACUGUAGGGCACAGAGUCAACAUGUACCUAGUCAGACAAGGUGCUGGAGAAGAAUCUACAAUGUUUUUCACAGAGUAAGGAAGUGAGAUAAGUCUAAGAACAGUUUCCAUUAUGUACGACAGGAGUAUUUUUAUACAUGAAGGAUGCCAGUAAGAAGAAAAUUCACACAUUUAGUUCAAAAUUUAAAUUCUAGAAACCUGAGGGAUUCUAGAAAAAAAAAAAGGGGGGGGAGGGGCUUUUUGUUUACUAUUGAAAACCUCACAUUUCAUAAGCAAAUUGAAAACUUUAAAAAGGUUACCUCCAUGUUUAUGAAUGAAAAAUAACAGAUCAAUUUAAUGCCAUUAUUUCAGUAAAGUAUUCAGGCUGGAAACACAGCAAGUAGUAUUGCCUGCAUUAUUCCAUUAGUAUAAGCUGCCUUUAAAGUCAAAGGAAAAUAAGAAUGCUUCUAUACCUAGACUUACACUAAUCAAAAUGCAUGUACCUUUAGACAUGCAAAAGCACUUGGCAAGAACUGCUAAAAACAAACUGAUACUGUAGGGUUUAAUUUAUUCCAUCUACAAGAAUCUACAAUUAGAAAAGUCUCAUCUUCAAACUGUACAGUACAUUUACAUUAGCAGACACUUCGCAGCUGUCCUCACUCCUCCACUUCUGUACAAAUCAUACACAAUAAAAGUUUUGUUUUACAAACAUUGCUUUACAUGUUAAUAUAGAUGAAAAUAUUGUUCUCUGGCACUUCCUCCAUGGUGCCUGUGUAUUAGAGCCCAGAGCACUUUGGAUCUGUGCUUUUGGAAUCUUCAGCUCGAGUAAUAUGGACCGAUCAACAGGCCACAGCUUCUGCAACUUCAAAGUUUUAAAUAAUGAGAAAAUCUACCACUUUGUUUGUAUAACAAUCAACAGUUUAUUAAUGGAUAUGGUGAAAUUUUAGCUAUCCACCAAGGAUGUGUAAAAAAUUGUCAUGAAAGUAAAAAUAAAUAAAGCUGUUUUUAAAAUCA